rnacentral:rRNA from 1 species
CCUACGGGUGGCAGCAGUGAGGAAUAUUGGUCAAUGGACGAGAGUCUGAACCAGCCAAGUAGCGUGAAGGAUGAAUGCCCUAUGGGUUGUAAACUUCUUUUAUCUGGGAAUAAAAUGUUCCACGUGUGGGAUUUUGUAUGUACCAUAUGAAUAAGGAUCGGCUAACUCCGUGCCAGCAGCCGCGGUAAUACGGAGGAUCCGAGCGUUAUCCGGAUUUAUUGGGUUUAAAGGGAGCGUAGGUGGGUUGUUAAGUCAGUUGUGAAAGUUUGCGGCUCAACCGUAAAAUUGCAGUUGAAACUGGCAGUCUUGAGUACAGUAGAGGUGGGCGGAAUGCGUGGUGUAGCGGUGAAAUGCUUAGAUAUCACGAAGAACUCCGAUUGCGAAGGCAGUUCACUGGACUGCAACUGACACUGAGGCUCGAAAGUGUGGGUAUCAAACAGGAUUAGAUACCCGGGUAGUC